CAGGUGGUCAGGUAGAGAAUACCAAGGCGCUUGAGAGAACUCGGGUGAAGGAACUAGGCAAAAUGGUGCCGUAACUUCGGGAGAAGGCACGCUGAUAUGUAGGUGAAGUCCCUCGCGGAUGGAGCUGAAAUCAGUCGAAGAUACCAGCUGGCUGCAACUGUUUAUUAAAAACACAGCACUGUGCAAACACGAAAGUGGACGUAUACGGUGUGACGCCUGCCCGGUGCCGGAAGGUUAAUUGAUGGGGUCAGCGCAAGCGAAGCUCUUGAUCGAAGCCCCGGUAAACGGCGGCCGUAACUAUAACGGUCCUAAGGUAGCGAAAUUCCUUGUCGGGUAAGUUCCGACCUGCACGAAUGGCGUAAUGAUGGCCAGGCUGUCUCCACCCGAGACUCAGUGAAAUUGAACUCGCUGUGAAGAUGCAGUGUACCCGCGGCAAGACGGAAAGACCCCGUGAACCUUUACUAUAGCUUGACACUGAACAUUGAGCCUUGAUGUGUAGGAUAGGUGGGAGGCUUAGAAGUGUGGACGCCAGUCUGCAUGGAGCCGACCUUGAAAUACCACCCUUUAAUGUUUGAUGUUCUAACGUUGACCCGUGAUCCGGGUUGCGGACAGUGUCUGGUGGGUAGUUUGACUGGGGCGGUCUCCUCCUAAAGAGUAACGGAGGAGCACGAAGGUUGGCUAAUCCUGGUCGGACAUCAGGAGGUUAGUGCAAUGGCAUAAGCCAGCUUGACUGCGAGCGUGACGGCGCGAGCAGGUGCGAAAGCAGGUCAUAGUGAUCCGGUGGUUCUGAAUGGAAGGGCCAUCGCUCAACGGAUAAAAGGUACUCCGGGGAUAACAGGCUGAUACCGCCCAAGAGUUCAUAUCGACGGCGGUGUUUGGCACCUCGAUGUCGGCUCAUCACAUCCUGGGGCUGAAGUAGGUCCCAAGGGUAUGGCUGUUCGCCAUUUAAAGUGGUACGCGAGCUGGGUUUAGAACGUCGUGAGACAGUUCGGUCCCUAUCUGCCGUGGGCGCUGGAGAACUGAGGGGGGCUGCUCCUAGUACGAGAGGACCGGAGUGGACGCAUCACUGGUGUUCGGGUUGUCAUGCCAAUGGCACUGCCCGGUAGCUAAAUGCGGAAGAGAUAAGUGCUGAAAGCAUCUAAGCACGAAACUUGCCCCGAGAUGAGUUCUCCCUGACCCUUUAAGGGUCCUGAAGGAACGUUGAAGACGACGACGUUGAUAGGCCGGGUGUGUAAGCGCAGCGAUGCGUUGAGCUAACCGGUACUAAUGAACCGUGAGG
rnacentral:rRNA from 1 species